UCUCCACGCUAAAAUAGUAAAAAGCUCAUUCGAAAUUGUACUUUAUUCUUAUUAUGCUUAAAGUAUUAAUUAGAGUAAAUUUGGAAAAGAAAAUAUAAUCUCAGGGUGCUUCCGUAACUGUCAAAAUAAUACUUAUACUAGAAAUCCAUUCAUUGAUUGCAGAAACACUUUUUAGGAUACUGAAAUACAGUACCCGAUAGAAAAUAUUGUACAUCGAACUUUA